ensembl:snRNA U6 U6 spliceosomal RNA
GUGCUCGCUUUGGCAGCAUAUCUACUGAAACUAGAGCAGUACACAGAAGGUCAGCACGGCCCCUGCGCGAGCAUGACACGCAAGUUCAUCAAGUGUUCCAUGUUAAA